UUAUAUGGAUUGUGAAGUGGUUCCGUC
rnacentral:sRNA from 1 species